rnacentral:lncRNA from 1 species
AGUUUUAAUUUGCUUCGUUUUAAUCACAAUGCACCUUGUUUUUAUUCAACACUAUCACUGUAUAUUUGUAUAUGUAUACAUAUGCAAUUUCGUUAAUUGUGACUCAUAACCCAAAAGAGUCAGACAGCUCUACUUAAAAAUACGAAAUAUUAAGCUUGAUUAGAGUAUAAACAGAAUUAUGUAAUGGAAGAACAUAAUAACAAUCAUGUUUCUUUUACGAAUGUUUUACGAAACUAAGACACUUUCAAACACGUGUCGGUCGAUCACUGUCCAUUUGAACGUUGUAUAAUUCAUUGCAGUUGUUUCAACAUUGUUGCAGAUAAAUCUAUAUUCGAGCAACCUUCCAAUUGGAAACAUUGAAAAUUAUAAUUCAGCGUUGUUUCUGUGCAGCAAUAAAACGAACUUAUAUAUGCCAUUGUGUGCACGUAAUGAUUUUUAAUCGUUAGCAAGAAUUCUUGUCCCUCUUUUUUUUUAAUUUUCAUUCGUUUAUCCGAAUACGAUCAGAAAAUUGCCUUGCGCCGGUUGGGACAUAAUUGACUCGCGAAUAAACAUAACCUAUGUAUGUAAAUUUUAAGUGAAGCGCGACAAUGUCAUCGGGAGCCGUGAUUGGGGAAUUUUUUUUAUUGCAUUGGUGUUAUGACCCUCACAAUGAAAUGUUCGAAGUGUUUAUUAUAUGACAUGUGUGAUCGCCCGUCUCCUCAAAAAUGAUUUAUGCUACAUUAUUAUUGUAAAUGUAACAUAAAAUUACUACGGUAAUCACAGUGGUACCGUUCCUUAUGUUUAUUUAGAUUACUAAUGCAUAUGAAUAAAUUCGUGAAGUAUUUUGAAAACACUGUCAUGCAAAAUUGUAUUCUAAAAAGUUUUAUGUGUUUUCGCGUGGUUGCGGCGGGGGUAUAAAGGUCGCUCUGUGCUGCAACGUUCGAAUGGUAAUAAGUCAACACGCGAUACCGCGUGAACGAAGAUUUAACGACAGAGUCGCCCACUCGAUAUCGUAAUUGAAUAUUGAACAGUGACAGCAUGCGAUAUCGCAAGGUCGGACAUUUAACGUUUAACGACUGUACGAUAUCGCAAAAAUGAAUAUUAGACAUUAACGAUCAACUACGCAAUACCGUCUGAGUAGAUAUUAGUAUCAGUAAUUGAUGAUAUUGUAGGAAUAGUUAAUUCGCAUUAUCGACUGACCACGCGAUGCCGCGUGAAUGGAUAUUUGGCGAUAAGUAAUCAUCCAUAAUAUACAUAUAAUUAUGAGUUCGAACUCGAGGUUUGAUAAAAUAUCUGAUCAAAUCUUUUUGACUCAAAUUUUAACUAAAUAUGAGGAACGAGCAAGUGAGGAGUAUUAAAUAUGUUAAUAAAAACUUGAUGCGACGCGAAUACAAAAUUGUCUUGAUCGUUUGAUGAAAAAGAACGGAUUGAAAGAGUGAUUACGGACGUGUACAAUGUGUACACAUGUUUAUUGAUAGUUAGUCGCGAUUCUGCGAAGCAAAAAUGUCGAUGUUUAAUAUGAUAAGUCGUUACAGGAAUAAAUUCGUUGGACGUUUAUCAAAGAGAAGGUGAAUCGAACAUCAAAUAUGCAUUUUCAAUGUGAUAACACGAAUGUUGCACUGAUUUAUAUCUUGAACUGCAUGGAUGUAUCUAGAUAUAGGCAGAGAGGUUCUUCUACGCGAAAACAAAAAACUGGUUUUGACUGUUUAAACAUUUCGUAAACAAAAGGGGCAACAUAACGGUGCGCUAAUUUUAUAAGCGGAAACAUCUCAGACAUUUCAAGGUCAUCGUCAUUCCUUUAAAUGGAACGUAUUACUUUAUAUAUUAAAAUUUGGUAAAAUAUCAAAUUUGGAGUAUUCAGCUUUAUUCCUUAGUUAAAGUAGAGGCUCGAAAUGAUAUACAAUGACAUAAUCUAUUGAUCAACAAGGAAAUAACAUUGUGAACUAAUUUUGUACAAAGUGUAAAUUCGUUCUUAAAUACUUUGUAAUUUCGCUUUUACAGUCCUUGUUUUUUAAUGGCAAAUUAAAAAAAUUAAAACAUCGAAUUUUUUAAAUAUCUUGUCAACUACGAACUUGAGGUCAAUAAGUUUGAUAUCGCAUAUCGAUACAAAAAAAUUGUUAUUCCAUAUAAACAAAUAUUGUUCUUCGAAAAGCAUGACCUACAAAUGAAGUUCAUAUCCUGUUUAAUAUUUGUCUCGUAACUUUAUUAGCUUUCUGUAUCAAUGAUAUUCAUGGAAACAGUAGUCUCGUCACACUGUCAGAGACAGAGUUGUAGAAAUAGAACAUUUUUGGAUAUGAUAAUAUACAAACAGGCUCUUCCAUGAAACGUUGUAUAUUUUGUUAAUAAAGUAGAAAAAUAGGUUUGAUAUUUGUUGCGUAUAUCUUGUAAGUGUACGUAGCGUAGUUCUAACACAUUUUUGACAGAGUGCAGUUUAAAAAUUAUGUCACAUGCUUCUCCGUAUGUUCUCUUAAAAAUCAAACACGUCAUAGCUUCUUUGAAAGAAAGUAGAUCUGAUUAAUGAUUUCAUUUUUGUGAUGAAUAAAACAAGUAAAACCAGUUCAUUGCACAAAUGCGCUUACGUCCAGGGGAAAUCACAUCUGUAAAUAACAAAUACUUGAUAGGUGCAUACGUACAAGAUCACGUGGACGCGGGCAGUGUGAAUCAUUUACAACGUCUGUUUCGCAACGUACCGUUGAAGAGACCGUAGGCUUCGUUUCCAAGAAUACAAGUAUCCUCGGGAUGUUCCGCUCAUUAUCGUUUCAAUUAUAUUCCACCCACGUAUUUACAAUUUUUUUCAAAUAUGUUUAAUUUUAGACGAGAACUACCAUCUUUACACUCUGAAGGUAAUUCCCGAUUCCAAUCUUAACUUUUUUCUCAUUUUCCAACAUUGGAUAGUUGCAGCAUUCUAAACUGUUAUAAUCGCUACUAUUUCCUGGAUCUUCGUCGGAUAACAAUAUCCAUUUUUGCAUUGUUAUAUCAUAUGCUUAGUCUU